CAUAUCAAUAAGCGGAGGAAAAGAAACCAACAGGGAUUGCCCUAGUAACGGCGAGUGAAGCGGCAACAGCUCAAAUUUGAAAUCUGGCGCAAGCCCGAGUUGUAAUUUGUAGAGGAUGCUUCUGGGCAGCGGCCGGUCUAAGUUCCUUGGAACAGGACGUCACAGAGGGUGAGAAUCCCGUAUGUGACCGGCGCGCACCCUCCACGUAGCUCCUUCGACGAGUCGAGUUGUUUGGGAAUGCAGCUCUAAAUGGGAGGUAAAUUUCUUCUAAAGCUAAAUACCGGCCAGAGACCGAUAGCGCACAAGUAGAGUGAUCGAAAGAUGAAAAGCACUUUGGAAAGAGAGUUAAAAAGCACGUGAAAUUGUUGAAAGGGAAGCGCUUGCAACCAGACUCCGUGGCGGUGUUCCGCCGGUCUUCUGACCGGUCCACUCGCCGCCGCGGGGCCAACAUCGUCUGGGGCCGCCGGACAAGACUGGAGGAAUGUGGCUCCCUCGGGAGUGUUAUAGCCUUCAGUGAUGCGGCGCGUCCCGGGCGAGGUCCGCGCUUCGGCAAGGAUGUUGGCGUAAUGGUUGCCAGCGGCCCGUCUUGAAACACGGACCAAGGAGUCUAACAUCUAUGCGAGUGUUCGGGUGUCAAACCCCUACGCGUAAUGAAAGUGAACGGAGGUGGGAGCUUCGGCGCACCAUCGACCGAUCCUGAUGUCCUCGGAUGGAUUUGAGUAAGAGCAUAGCUGUUGGGACCCGAAAGAUGGUGAACUAUGCCUGAAUAGGGUGAAGCCAGAGGAAACUCUGGUGGAGGCUCGCAGCGGUUCUGACGUGCAAAUCGAUCGUCAAAUUUGGGUAUAGGGGCGAAAGACUAAUCGAACCAUCUAGUAGCUGGUUCCUGC
rnacentral:rRNA from 1 species